UACGUAUGGUGCAAGCGUUAUCCGGAUUUACUGGGCGUAAAGGGAGCGCGGGCGGCGCGCCAAGUCCGAUGUGAAACCCCGGGGCUCAACCCCGGGCAUGCAUUGGAAACUGGCGGGCUGGAGUGCCGGAGAGGUAAGCGGAAUUCCUAGUGUAGCGGUGAAAUGCGUAGAUAUUAGGAGGAACACCAGUGGCGAAGGCGGCUUACUGGACGGCAACUGACGCUGAGGCUCGAAAGCGUGGGGAGCAAACAGG
rnacentral:rRNA from 1 species